UAACACAUGCAAGUCGAACGAAGGCUUCGGGCUUAGUGGCGCACGGGUGCGUAACGCGUGGGAAUCUGCCCUUGGGUUCGGAAUAACAGUUAGAAAUUACUGCUAAUACCGGAUGAUGACGUAAGUCCAAAGAUUUAUCGCCGAAGGAUGAGCCCGCGUAGGAUUAGGUAGUUGGUGAGGUAAAGGCUCACCAAGCCGACGAUCCUUAGCUGGUCUGAGAGGAUGAUCAGCCACACUGGGACUGAGACACGGCCCAGACUCCUACGGGAGGCAGCAGUGGGGAAUAUUGGACAAUGGGCGAAAGCCUGAUCCAGCAAUGCCGCGUGAGUGAUGAAGGCCUUAGGGUUGUAAAGCUCUUUUACCCGGGAUGAUAAUGACAGUACCGGGAGAAUAAGCCCCGGCUAACUCCGUGCCAGCAGCCGCGGUAAU
rnacentral:rRNA from 1 species